CACGGGGGGAGCAAGCGUUGUUCGGAUUCAUUGGGCGUAAAGGGCUCGUAGGUGGCUUUGUAAGUCGGAGGUGAAAUCCCACGGCUCAACCGUGGACACGCCUUCGAAACUGUGAAGCUUGAGGCUGGGAGAGGAGAUCGGAAUUCCUGGUGUAGCGGUGAAAUGCGUAGAUAUCAGGAGGAACACCGGUGGCGAAGGCGGAUCUCUGGACCAGUUCUGACGCUGAGGAGCGAAAGCGUGGGGAGCGAACAGG
rnacentral:rRNA from 1 species